UGGACAUCCGAGCUGAUUCCUUGUUGCUUUGAAAAGAUGCAGUGGUUACACCUGCUGCCCUGGUUUACAUUUGCACCAACUGUGACACAGCCAGACAGUGCAGAGCUUCCUCCACCUUUUAUUCUUAACUAGAAUUUGAUCCCUUGAUGGAGAAUCCUAUGGAAAGUUACCAACUCUAUUCUAGGAACCCAAGGUUUGGGGGAUCAAAUUCAGGUUGUCAGCUUUGGCAACCAGCCUCUUACUCAGCUCAUCCAUAUCAGCAACCCUACAGUUUUAGUGUAAUAACAUUAAGCAAUAAACCAUCUUUUACCUUUGC